rnacentral:tRNA from 1 species
GGGGAUACAGCUUAGCAGCACAGCGCCUGCCUGGCAAGCGUGAGGUCCUGAGUUCGAUUCCCAGUUCCCCCU